rnacentral:rRNA from 1 species
UACGUAGGGUGCAAGCGUUGUCCGGAAUUAUUGGGCGUAAAGAGCUCGUAGGCGGUUUGUCGCGUCGAAUGUGAAAACCCGGGGCUCAACCCCGGGCCUGCAUUCGAUACGGGCAGACUAGAGUUCGGUAGGGGAGUCUGGAAUUCCUGGUGUAGCGGUGAAAUGCGCAGAUAUCAGGAGGAACACCGGUGGCGAAGGCACUUUACUGGGCUAUUACUAACACUGAGAGACGAAAGCUAGGGUAGCAAAUGGG